rnacentral:rRNA from 1 species
AUGUCGACGACGGCGGGGUACCUGGCGCGGCGCGCGGGGCAGAAGGAGCGGGUGCGGCUCCUCUACCGCCGCGCGCUCAAGGACACCCUCAACUGGGCCGUCCACCGCCAUCUCUUCUACCAGGACGCGUCCGAGCUCAGGGACAAGUUCGAGGCCAACAGAAAUGUGGAGAACCUGGACGUGAUCGAUAGGCUCAUCGAGGACGCGGAGGCGCAGCAGAGGAACUUCCAGCACCCGGAUCCUUACAUUGUUCCAUGGGCUCCUGGUGGCACUAAAUUCACAAGGAACCCUCCUCCACCUGAAGGGAUUGAGAUUAUCUACAACUAUGGCAAAGAAGACCAAUGA